rnacentral:tRNA from 1 species
AUAAACAUGUUAAUGCUUUUUUGAAAGUUAGAAGCUUUCUAUAAAAUUAUUUCUUU